rnacentral:tRNA from 1 species
GUACACAUGUUCCAAGGGGGCGAGAUUCCCUUGCACGGAGUCUGUGACAAGUUCGAUUCUUGUUGUGUCCA